GAUGAACGCUGGCGGCGUGCCUAAUACAUGCAAGUCGAGCGAACGAACGAGAAGCUUGCUUCUCUGAUGUUAGCGGCGGACGGGUGAGUAACACGUGGAUAACCUACCUAUAAGACUGGGAUAACUUCGGGAAACCGGAGCUAAUACCGGAUAAUAUUUUGAACCGCAUGGUUCAAAAGUGAAAGACGGUUUUGCUGUCACUUAUAGAUGGAUCCGCGCUGCAUUAGCUAGUUGGUAAGGUAACGGCUUACCAAGGCAACGAUGCGUAGCCGACCUGAGAGGGUGAUCGGCCACACUGGAACUGAGACACGGUCCAGACUCCUACGGGAGGCAGCAGUAGGGAAUCUUCCGCAAUGGGCGAAAGCCUGACGGAGCAACGCCGCGUGAGUGAUGAAGGUCUUCGGAUCGUAAAACUCUGCUAUUAGGGAAGAACAUAUGUGUAAGUAACUGUGCACGUCUUGACGGUACCUAAUCAGAAAGCCACGGCUAACUACGUG
rnacentral:rRNA from 1 species